rnacentral:rRNA from 1 species
CCCGUCACGCCAUGGAAGUGGUGAGCGCCCGAAGUCCGUGUCGGAACCCGCAAGGGGCCAAGCGGCCGAAGGCGAGCAUCAUGACUGGGGCG